rnacentral:rRNA from 1 species
GACAGAGGGUGCGAACGUUGUUCGGAAUUACUGGGCGUAAAGCGCAUGUAGGCGGCAGCGCAAGUCGGGCGUGAAAUCCCACGGCUCAACCGUGGAAGUGCACUCGAAACUGCGCAGCUAGAGUCCUGGAGAGGAAGGUGGAAUGCUUGGUGUAGAGGUGAAAUUCGUAGAUAUCAAGCGGAACACCAAAGGCGAAGGCACCAUCCUGGGGAGUCACUGACGCUCGGGUGCGAAAGCCAGGGGAGCGAACGGG